GACGAACGCUGGCGGCGUGCCUAAUACAUGCAAGUAGGACGCAGUUGCGAACGGGUGAGUAACGCGUAGGUAACUGCCUCUUAUAGGGGGAUAACUAUUGGAAACGAUAGCUAAUACCGCAUACUAGUAGAUGGAACUGCGUUGUAUUAGCUAGUAGGUGGGGUAAUGGCAUACCUAGGCGACGAUACAUAGCCGGUCUGAGAGUGUGAUCGGCCACACUGGAACUGAGACACGGCCCAGACUCCUACGGGAGGCAGCAGGAGGGAAUCUUGGGCAAUGGGGGGAACCCUGACCGAGCAACGCCGCGUGUGUGAAGAAGGUUUUCGGAUCGGAAAGCUCUGUUGUUAGAGAAGCGGUAUCUAACCAGAAAGCCACGGCUAACUACGUGCCAGCAGCCGCGGUAAUAC
rnacentral:rRNA from 1 species